CCCUUAGACGUUCUGGGCCGCACGCGCGCUACACUGACGAAGGCAACGAGCUUUCCUUUACCGAAAGGUACGGGUAAUCUUUUGAAACUUCGUCGUGCUGGGGAUAGAUCCUUGCAAUUUUUGAUCCUAAACGAGGAAUGCCUAGUAAGCGCAAGUCAUCAACUUGCGUUGAUUACGUCCCUGCCCUUUGUACACACCGCCCGUCGCUACUACCGAUUGAAUGGUUUAGUGAGGCCUUCGGAUCCGCGACUCGUUUGUGGAGAAGUUGGACAAACUCAGUCAUUUAGAGGAAGUAAAAGUCGUAACA
rnacentral:rRNA from 1 species